UACGUAGGGGGCGAGCGUUUGUCCGGAGUUACUGGGCGUAAAGCGCACGCAGGCGGUCUGCUAAGUUUGGAGUGACAGUUGGUGGCUUAACUGCCAAAGUGCUUCGAAAACUGACAGACUUGAGGGCUUCAGAGGGACGACGGAAUUCCGGGUGGAGUGGUGAAAUGCGUAGAGAUCCGGAGGAACACCAAAGGCGAAGGCAGUGUCCUGGGGAGUACCUGACGCUCAG
rnacentral:rRNA from 1 species